GGAUGCUGGCACAUGUGUCCUGGUCCUCAACACCCUUCUGUGAGCCUAGGGACCCAUUUCUCCUCCUUUGACAGGGACAUCAGUGGAGCCUUCUCAGACCCACAGGGGUCCUUGGUGAAUUUUGUCAUGGUUAUUUAAGGAACCUUGCCUAGAAGUCCCAACUUGCAGUUCCCCAUCGACGGGAAGGCUUGGACUCCAAGAUGAUUAUAAAGGAAUAUCGGAUUCCUCUGCCAAUGACCGUGGAGGAGUACCGCAUCGCCCAGCUGUACAUGAUACAGGUGGGUCGUGGGGCAAGGGUGGGUCAUGGGGUGAGGGUGGGUCGCGCCAGCGCACAGACACCACAUGUGGGUUAGGUGGAGUUGUGGCCUUCACAGUGCAGUGCCUGCCCCAGAACUUCCUGGUAAGUGUGAAUUGUGCUGGACCCCUGGCCUCUAGGCACGAUGCCAGGCGCACUGAGCACACCAUGGGCGCGCGGCAUCAGAUUGCUUUCCGGCACUGUGUCCCGCCGCCUACAACGCGAACACUUGCCCUUGCGUUCA
rnacentral:sRNA from 1 species